GAUGAACGCUAGCGGCAGGCUUAACACAUGCAAGUCGAGGGGUAGAGGAAGCUUGCUUCCUUGAGACCGGCGCACGGGUGCGUAACGCGUAUGCAAUCUACCUUAUACAGGGGGAUAGCCCAGAGAAAUUUGGAUUAAAUACCCCAUAGUAUAAUUGAAUGGCAUCAUUUAAUUAUUAAAAGUUCCAACGGUAUAAGAAUGAGCAUGCGUCCCAUUAAGCUAGUUGGUGUGGUAACGGCACACCAAGGCGACGAUGGGUAGGGGUCCUGAGAGGGAGAUCCCCCACACUGGUACUGAGACACGGACCAGACUCCUACGGGAGGCAGCAGUGAGGAAAUAUUGGUCAAAUGGGCGCAAGCCUGAACCAGCCAUGCCGCGUGCAGGAUGACGGUCCUAUGGAUUGUAAACUGCUUUGUACAGGAAGAAACACUCCCUCGUGAGGGAGCUUGACGGUACUGUAAGAAUAA
rnacentral:rRNA from 1 species